UGUUCUGUGGCUAAGUUGGUUAAAGCGCCGGUCUAGCGAAUACGGAGUCGUGGGUUCAAAUCCCACCCGAACGC
rnacentral:tRNA from 1 species